rnacentral:rRNA from 1 species
GACGAACGCUGGCGGCGUGCUUAACACAUGCAAGUCGAACGGAAAGGCCCUGCUUUUGUGGGGUGCUCGAGUGGCGAACGGGUGAGUAACCCGUGAGUAACCUGCCCUUGACUUUGGGAUAACUUCAGGAAACUGGGGCUAAUACCGGAUAGGAGCUCCUGCUGCAUGGUGGGGGUCGGAAAGUUUCGGCGGUUGGGGAUGGACUCGCGGCUUAUCAGCUUGUUGGUGGGGUAGUGGCUUACCAAGGCUUUGACGGGUAGCCGGCCUGAGAGGGUGACCGGCCACAUGGGGACUGAGAUACGGACCAGACGCCUACGGGAGGCAGCAGUGGGGAAUAUUGCACAAUGGGCGGAAGCCUGAUGCAGCAACGCCGCGUGCGGGAUGACGGCCUUCGGGUUGUAAACCGCUUUCGCCUGUGACGAAGCGUGAGUGACGGUAAUGGGUAAAGAAGCACCGGCUAACUACGUG